UUGACGGGGCCCGCACAAGCGGCGGAGCAUGCGGAUUAAUUCGAUGCAACGCGAAGAACCUUACCAAGGCUUGACAUACACCGGUAACGCCCAGAGAUGGGUGCCCCUUUGUGGUCGGUGGUACAGGUGGUGCAUGGUUGUCGUCAGCUCGUGUCGUGAGAUGUUGGGUUAAGUCCCGCAACGAGCGCAACCCUCGUCCUAUGUUGCCAGCGGGUCAUGCCGGGGACUCAUGGGAGACUGCCGGGGUCAACUCGGAGGAAGGUGGGGAUGACGUCAAAUCAUCAUGCCCCUUAUGUCUUGGGCUUCACGCAUGCUACAAUGGCCGGUACAAAGGGCUGCGAUACCGCGAGGUGGAGCGAAUCCCAGAAAGCCGGUCUCAGUUCGGAUUGGGGUCUGCAACUCGACCCCAUGAAGUCGGAGUCGCUAGUAAUCGCAGAUCAGCAACGCUGCGGUGAAUACGUUCCCGGGCCUU
rnacentral:rRNA from 1 species